UGGGCUUGAAAGAGGAUCAAGAAGGCCAGAAGGCCAGAGAAGGAAUUGCUGAUCAUUGAUGAUCAUGUCAGACCAACAUCCUUCCUACUCUGCCACACCCAGUGACCCUGAGUGCUGAGCCAAGGAAAGAUAAAUGCAUCAGAACAGAAAAAUAUCUGGGGAGAUUAUAUUUGCCAUAGUUUAUAGGUUUGUGUAUUUGAGAGAGAGGUGAUGGUGCCACAGCCCUGUCUACACUACCUUUCUUCCUCACAACCAUCUCCAAGGCAGCUGCCAGGAAGCAUGAUAAUAUUUUUUUAAGGCAAUGGUGAGUGUGAAAGCUCUGGAGGGAUGGGGGUGGGAAAUGUCCAUACCUCAACCCUUAUUAAUUACUGCUGCUACUAAUGGUUGUUGAUUAGUGGUUGUUCCCAACUUCUAAUCUUUGAAGGUUCUGUGGUAACCAUAGAGGAAAAUAACAAAAACUGCUGCUCUUUCAAGGUUCCAUGUGUUACCAUGAUCACCAUAGGGGAAACAGCCCCUCCCCUGGAAGUGUGCUACCUAGCAACUGGGCCAGGUAGCACUAGAGGUUUAGGUUCCCAUGUGACGAGAAAUUUCCCUAUCUGCUCUGCUAAAUAGUCUGUUGCCCCUGAUUCUUCCCACCAGCAGGGCUGACCACUGAAGGUGGAAAUCGUCCACACCCUAAGCUGUAGAUAUUCUGCUACCAACACAAAUUAGGGUGUUUUUUAUUAUUAUUACGUUUCCAUCAAUUUCACAACACCAACACCACAUUUUCCCAACCCAAGCCCCCUUUGAAAACCAUCCUUUACUGACUACAAUAGGGGCUGAAAAUAAGGGAAGGUGAUGUGAUGCCCCACGCUUUGGAAAUCUGCAGAAGAACCAGCAGACUCGGCUUGACACUAUUUACUCAAUCAUACACUUAACAAGUGUUCCCUGAACAAUCCCUGCCCUUCUGCACCCCCUUGUGGGCCAGGGUGGGAUUCUCAACAACCACAACAGAGUGCUGGAUUUUCGUGGAAUGAUUUCUGCAAGAACAGAAUGGGCUGGAAGGCCACUGAAGCAGGUGUGGCUCCCACAGAGGUUACUCUGAAAUACAAAUGGACAGCCCUUCAUUGUUG